GGCUCCGAAGGCUCCUCUGUGAUUUUGCCGUGGAUUAUGACAUCGAUGGGCCGUUCCACUCUGACAUCGCCUAAACUCAGAUAUCUUCGUUCACCUUUUCUGCUUCUUGAUCCUUUGAAACUUUUUAAGACUUUCUCAUCCUGCUUGAUCCAAUACUGUCGCAGGCUCCACGGAGCAAGCACAAGGGCCCUAUCUUGUCAGACUGCCCUGUAUCAGGGAGGGCAGCAAUCGAUCCUUGAAUGUGGAGAUCGGCAUCCACAAUGGGCUUUUGAAUGCCAAAGAGGAGCAAGAGAAGGGGAGCUGGACCAUUGAGCUCACACGUGCGAAACAUCAGGGUUGCCUGUAAAGAACCGCCCAGGAGAAUGGCUCCUCGCUGUCAUCCAAGCUGGAUGUGCUCCCCGUUAAAGCAGAGUAAUCACUUCUAUGGAAACCUUAGUCUACACGGAGAUCUCCCAAGGCCGGUAGGUCCCAUACGUCUGCAUAUGGUCUUGUCUAGAAAAUCUAUACGCAGGGACAGGCAUUUAGCUCAGUGGUUCUGCCGCCUGC
rnacentral:lncRNA from 1 species